GCAAUAGAGACUAUGGCUUGGACCUGCGUUCAAAAUUAAGCUUCUCACUCAUUUUCUGCAAAACUGGACCAGCCACCCCAAAUUGCCCGUGCCCUCUGCACAGGAACAGAGCCUGCCCAAGUAGAUGUCGGUUUGGAGGCAGAGAAAUGGCAGGAGAAGAAAGAAAAUUCCAGUGUUUUCACUCAGUGAGAGAAGUAAGGAUCUUAUCCAGGAUACUACAUUGUAUUCAGUCCUGUGUCUCCUUAGGCUCCUCUUCACGGUGACAGUUCCUCAGGUAACAUUUGGCAUCUGUUGCUGAUACAUUCUAUAACUGGAGGAAGUUACGUGGAAGAGACAAAUCUUUUUUGAAAUAGGAUAAGGAGGAGCCCCUUUGUGAAAGCAAUAUUACAGCAUCUUUAAAAAUAGCAUUUUGAACUGAGAGAAGAGGACAAAACACCACUGUGGGAUGGUGAUUUGGCUAUAAAAAUCUUCUUUG